rnacentral:rRNA from 1 species
AUUGAACGCUGGCGGCAUGCCUUACACAUGCAAGUCGAACGGCAGCGCGGGAGCAAUCCUGGCGGCGAGUGGCGAACGGGUGAGUAAUACAUCGGAACGUGCCCAAUCGUGGGGGAUAACGCAGCGAAAGCUGUGCUAAUACCGCAUACGAUCUACGGAUGAAAGCAGGGGAUCGCAAGACCUUGCGCGAAUGGAGCGGCCAAUGGCAGAUUAGGUAGUUGGUGAGGUAAAGGCUCACCAAGCCUUCGAUCUGUAGCUGGUCUGAGAGGACGACCAGCCACACUGGGACUGAGACACGGCCCAGACUCCUACGGGAGGCAGCAGUGGGGAAUUUUGGACAAUGGGCGAAAGCCUGAUCCAGCCAUGCCGCGUGCAGGAUGAAGGCCUUCGGGUUGUAAACUGCUUUUGUACGGAACGAAACGGUCUUUUCUAAUAAAGAAGGCUAAUGACGGUACCGUAAGAAUAAGCACCGGCUAACUACGUG